rnacentral:tRNA from 1 species
GCCUGGGUGGCUCAGUGGGUUGAGCGUCCGACUUUGGCUCAGGUCAUGAUCUCGUGGUUCAUGAGUUCAAGCCCCGCCUCAGGCU